rnacentral:rRNA from 1 species
GACGAACGCUGGCGGCGUGCCUAAUACAUGCAAGUAGAACGCACAGUUUAUACCGUAGCUUGCUACACCAUAGACUGUGAGUUGCGAACGGGUGAGUAACGCGUAGGUAACCUGCCUGGUAGCGGGGGAUAACUAUUGGAAACGAUAGCUAAUACCGCAUAAUAUUAAUUAUUGCAUGAUAAUUAAUUGAAAGGUGCAGUUGCACCACUACCAGAUGGACCUGCGAUGUAUUAGCUAGUAGGUGAGGUAACGGCUCACCUAGGCGACGAUACAUAGCCGACCUGAGAGGGUGAUCGGCCACACUGGGACUGAGACACGGCCCAGACUCCUACGGGAGGCAGCAGUAGGGAAUCUUCGGCAAUGGACGAAAGUCUGACCGAGCAACGCCGCGUGAGUGAAGAAGGUUUUCGGAUCGUAAAGCUCUGUUGUAAGAGAAGAACGGGUGUGAGAGUGGAAAGUUCACACUGUGACGGUAUCUUACCAGAAAGGGACGGCUAACUACGUG